AAAACCCAAAAGAUCCAACGGAAAUAAAGUAGCAUGCAGAAAAAGCUGGGUUAACUCACAACACUCAGCUGGUCAGGUCAAAAUAAAACUGCUGGCUGGGUGGUCGGCUUUUUAUUCCAGUCCUCGGGGUUUCUUCUCCCAGGUGGUGAAUGCGAGGGUGUUGGAACUGCCUCGUCAGAUACUCUCUGUUAGAACACAGAGGGUAUCUUCAGCAGGGUGACAAUCCAAACAGCGCUUUCAGUCCCGAGGCUGCUCUGCGGGAUGAUGCUCUGAUUUCCUGGGCUUCAGCUGAAGAGUCCAGGAGCUGUUCGGGUGCCACUUUGUCGUGGCUGUGUCCUGGGGGCCUGUCCGACCCCCAGCUUCUGCCAGCAACAAGCCUAGAUCGACGUUCCGGAGGAGAACCGCCGUCUGGGGUUUCCAGGCAGUCUCCAGCCCAGGGGUAACCCUUAGGAGCACAGGCAAAGGCUUCAAGCGUCCAGCUCUUUUAGAAGGGUGAAUGGUACCUGACAAACACAGAAGCUUAGAGGAUGAUCUUCCAGACUGGAUGGUAAUUCUUCCAUUUUCACUGUCCCUCGGAAGAAGCUACCAAACCAGUUUAUCUCCAUUAAAUAUUUUUACUCCUUGAAUCCAAAUGAA